rnacentral:tRNA from 1 species
GGCCUCGUAGCUCAGUUGGUUAGAGCAUUGGCUGUACUAAAGCCUUCCCACAUGCUGGCGUGGGUUCGAAUCCCACUGAGGCAG